UAAAUUGGCCCGUCCAAGGUAAAUAGGCCCGUCCAAGGUAAAUAGGCCCAUCCAAGGUAAAUAGGCCCGUCCAAGGUAAAUAGGCCCGUCCAAGGUAAAUAGGCCCGUCCAAGGUAAAUAGGCCCGUCCAAGGUAAAUAGGCCCGUCCAAGGUAAAUAGGCCCGUCCAAGGUAAAUAGGUCCGUCCAAGGUAAAUAGGCCCGUCCAAGGUAAAUAGGCCCGUCCAAGGUAAAUAGGCCCGUCCAAGGUAAAUAGGCCCGUCCAAGAUAAAUAGGUCCGUCCAAGGUAAAUAGGCCCGUCCAAGGUAAAUAGGCCCAUCCAAGGUAAAUAGGUCCGUCCAAGGUAAAUAGGCCCGUCCAAGGUAAAUAGGCCCAUCCAAGGUAAAUAGUUCCGUCCAAGGUAAAUAGGUCCGUCCAAGGUAAAUAGGCCCGUCCAAGGUAAAUAGGCCCGUCCAAGGUAAAUAGGCCCGUCCAAGGUAAAUAGGUCCGUCCAAGGUAAAUAGGCCCGUCCAAGGUAAAUAGGCCCGUCCAAGGUAAAUAGGCCCGUCCAAGGUAAAUAGGCCCGUCCAAGGUAAAUAGGUCCGUCCAAGGUAAAUAGGCCCAUCCAAGGUAAAUAGGCCCGUCCAAGGUAAAUAGGCCCAUCCAAGGUAAAUAGGCCCGUCCAAGGUAAAUAGGCCCAUCCAAGGUAAAUAGGCCCAUCCAAGGUAAAUAGGCCCAUCCAAGGUAAAUAGGCCCGUCCAAGGUAAAUAGGCCCAUCCAAGGUAAAUAGGUCCGUCCAAUGCAGCAGAAACGUAUGCUGCUCGAAUGCAAAGUGAGAGCACCUCUGUACACGGCGGUGCUUAAAUGUAAUAACUAAUUGACUUAUACAGACAAUGGCGUGACGUGAUCCUCAUUGGAAAUGCGACAUUUUGUCAAUGUGUGUAUGUAAUUGCGUAAUUACAAGGGCUUGUCAGAGUUAAAUCGGUUAACCCCAAGUUUUUUUUUAAUAACUUUUUGCCAUUUCAGUGCACUAUUUUCUUUAUCACGGUUAAUUGCAUUGUCUGUAAGCGUUCAGAAUACACUGAACACAUCCAAAAUACAUGAUCUAUACAGCGAAACACAACAAUGCGAUGUCCAAACAAGUUGACUCUAAGGUUAAAGAACGUGUGUUUAUCAAUUCAACUGAUUUUGCUUACUGUUACUUUGGACAAAAUCAAGAUGUCAAUCAAUAUUCUUGUAAUGAUUUCUGAAGAAAUUCUGAAUUUGCAAAUAAUUGCACCAAAUCCUGCAUUAACUUGUUUAAAAAAAAUAAAAUUGGUUAACGACCUUAAUAAUGACACAAUGCACACACAUAUAAUUUUUUUAAAUGAAUGACUGUACUGAGUGCAAUGACCAUCAAAGACUAUUUGAUCCGGUAAAACGUACAGUAUAUUCUUAUCCCCUUUUGUUAAUAUAUUGUGUGUAUAAUUUUUAUACAUUUGGGGGAAUUAAAUAGGUCAAUGCUGUUUCGCAGAAUUUUGAGAUAUAAAUUAGGUGUGUGUGUGUGUCUGUGUGUGCUGGUGUGUGUGUCAUUCAUUUAAUUGUAUUUAUUUAACCAGGAUAGUCCACUCAGUAACACUUGCCACUGUUUUCCAGGGAGUCCUAGGUUCCAUAGAGUCAUCGUGUGUGUGUGUGUGUGUGUGUGUGUGUGUGUGUGUGUGUGUGUGUGUGUGUGUGUGUGUGUGUGUGUGUGUGUGUGUGUGUGUGUGUGUGUGUGUGUGUGUGCGUGCGUGCGUGCGUGCGUGAGUGCGUGCGUGUGUGUGUGUACGUGCGUGGGUGUGUGCGCGCGUGUGUGUGUGAUAAUACUUUAUUCAUGGUUAUUACAGUAAUAAAUAUCUUUGAUUAUUACAGUGUGUUAGCAGUUUAGAGACUUAGUUCUACUAUAUUAGAUCUCAUGAGGACUGGAAUGAAACUAAUCUGGACAGAGUUUCUCUUCUGAAUAGUUAGAACGAGUGUGAUCAGCCCAAUUCACAUCGCACGGUAAAUUCCAGACAAAUAUAAUGUUCAUACUUAAUAAUCAUCACAAUUCAUCUUGUCUAUCAUCAAAUGUGUAUAUUUCUCUGUUUAAAAAAGAUUUCUAGCAGUAACUCAGGGCUUGGAAGAGAGCCUACUGCAUAUUGGCUCGCACAUUUCAGCCAGUUGCCUAUAGUCUGUAAUUCAUACUCAAUUUAGUUGUCAGCAUAAAACCAUUCAUUCUCAGUUCAUUCAAUAGAUUUUAGUGGAGGAAUGAGAUAAGCAUCUUGUUUGGCAUUGCAAGCGUAGUGUAAUGUGUACAUCGAUACUUCAUGUAAUGAAUAGGCCUACUGUACAAUUGUGAUCCAUAUGUCAUACGACGAAGGGAAACAUAAUUCAUUUCAGCACAUCACUUUUUGAUGAUUGAGAAAUAUGUAUUAUCGGAAAAGUAGGUUUGUCGUGAACAAAUUGGAUUGAUGAUCCAUGGUUGACGGAAAGAAAGAAAAGUGAAAAUAGAUUUAACCCUGUUCUUACAAUAGGCCUACAUUUUCUCUACAGUAACUAGGUUUCAGCAUAUGAUGUGUAUUUUUACCCAAAUGGUCUUUUGAGGCUCUGUGUGGUUUGACUCAUGUGGCACAAUGUUCUAUGUCCUCUUACCACCACUCAUACUGAAAAUGAAUUACCCACCAGCACCACAUAACCAUGAACAACCGGUGCUUUGUUUCAUUUGUUAAAUGGAGAAAUUGUCAUGUAGAAUAAUUCGAUUUAUAUUCAUUAGAGAUGUAGUAUUAUUGUGAUUUGCGUCCAAUAUUUUUCUGCUCUGAUCUCACAGAUCUGAGGAUGGUGGCACAUCAUCACAACCAAAAUGCCCACCGGAAAUUCAAUUUCUCCAGUUAGGAAACUAGAAAUGAUUUAACUGGUUCGGCCAGCCGUUAUUCCUGAUGACAUUUAGUGUACGGUGUGUUUUUUAAAAUCAUGUUUUCCUGCAUCUGGUUGAUCAGCGGAUCGGUAGGCCUAAAUACAGGUCAGGCUUGUGUCAUUUUCAAUCUAGCCUUGAAUUAUUUCUAUGAUAUUAUCUUAUGUAAUCCACUGUAUCUAU